rnacentral:rRNA from 1 species
GGCUCAGGAUGAACGCUAGCUACAGGCUUAACACAUGCAAGUCGAGGGGCAGCAUAUUGAUAGCUUGCUAUCAGUGAUGGCGACCGGCGCACGGGUGAGUAACGCGUAUCCAACCUUCCCAUGUCCACGGGAUAGCCCGUCGAAAGGCGGAUUAAUACCGUAUGAGGUCACAUGCGGGCAUCUAAGUGUGACGAAAGGUUUUGCGGACAUGGAUGGGGAUGCGUCCGAUUAGCUGGUUGGCGGGGUAACGGCCCACCAAGGCGACGAUCAGUAGGGGUUCUGAGAGGAAAGUCCCCCACAUUGGAACUGAGACACGGUCCAAACUCCUACGGGAGGCAGCAGUGAGGAAUAUUGGUCAAUGGGCGGAAGCCUGAACCAGCCAAGUAGCGUGCAGGACGACGGCCCUAUGGGUUGUAAACUGCUUUUAUGCGGGGAUAAAGUGGGCCACGUGUGGCCUUUUGCAGGUACCGCAUGAAUAAGGACCGGCUAAUUCCGUG